rnacentral:rRNA from 1 species
GAUGAACGCUGGCGGCGUGCCUAAUACAUGCAAGUCGAGCGAACAGACGAGGAGCUUGCUCCUCUGACGUUAGCGGCGGACGGGUGAGUAACACGUGGAUAACCUACCUAUAAGACUGGGAUAACUUCGGGAAACCGGAGCUAAUACCGGAUAAUAUAUUGAACCGCAUGGUUCAAUAGUGAAAGACGGUUUUGCUGUCACUUAUAGAUGGAUCCGCGCCGCAUUAGCUAGUUGGUAAGGUAACGGGUUACCAAGGCAACGGUGCCUAGCCGACCUGAGAGGGGGGUCGGGCCCACGGAACGGGGACACGGGCCCGACUCCUACGGGAGGCAGCAGUAGGGAAUCUUCCGCAAUGGGCGAAAGCUUGACGGAGCAACGCCGCGUGAGUGAUGAAGGUCUUCGGAUCGUAAAACUCUGUUAUUAGGGAAGAACAAAUGUGUAAGUAACUAUGCACGUCUUGACGGUACCUAAUCAGAAAGCCACGGCUAACUACGUG